UACGAGGGGGGCGAGCGUUGUUCGGAAUUAUUGGGCGUAAAGGGUGCGUAGGCGGUUUGGUAAGUCUUGUGUGAAAUCUUCGGGCUCAACUCGAAGUCUGCACGAGAAACUGCCGGGCUUGAGUAUGGGAGAGGUGAGUGGAAUUCCCGGUGUAGCGGUGAAGUGCGUAGAUAUCGGGAGGAACACCUGUGGCGAAAGCGGCUCACUGGACCAGUAACUGACGCUGAGGCACGAA
rnacentral:rRNA from 1 species